rnacentral:piRNA from 1 species
CCAUUAUCUGAAGUUGCCUGAAUAC